CCUACGGGGGACAGCAGUAGGGAAUCUUCCACAAUGGGCGAAAGCCUGAUGGAGCAACGCCGCGUGAAUGAUGAAGGUCUUCGGCUUGUAAAGUUCUUUUCUAAGGGAAGAAGAAAGUGACGGUACCUUAGGAAUAAGCCUCGGCUAACUACGUGCCAGCCGCCGCGGUAAUACGUGGGAGGCAAGCGUUAUCCGGAAUGCCUGGGGGUAAAGGGUGCGUAGGUGGUUUGACAAGUUAGUAGCGCAACUCCGGAGCUCAACUUCGGAACUACCACUAAAACUGUUGGACUUGAGUGCAGGAGGGGCAAUCGGAAUUCCUAGUGUAGCGGUGGAAUGCGUAGAUAUUAGGAGGAACACCAGUGGCGAAGGCGGAUUGCUAGACUGUAACUGACACUGAGGCACGAAAGCGUGGGGAGCAAACAGGAUUAGAUACCCGGGUAGUC
rnacentral:rRNA from 1 species